GUAAAUUGUAGCGCAGUGGUAGAGUACAUGCUUUGUAUGUAUGAUGUCCUGGGUUUGAUCCCCAGCUUCACA